GACGAACGCUGGCGGCGUGCUUAACACAUGCAAGUCGAACGGAAAGGCCCUGCUUUUGUGGGGUGCUCGAGUGGCGAACGGGUGAGUAACACGUGAGUAACCUGCCCUUGACUUUGGGAUAACUUCAGGAAACUGGGGCUAAUACCGGAUAGGAGCUCCUGCUGCAUGGUGGGGGUUGGAAAGUUUCGGCGGUUGGGGAUGGACUCGCGGCUUAUCAGCUUGUUGGUGGGGUAGUGGCUUACCGAGGCUUUGACGGGUAGCCGGCCUGAGAGGGUGACCGGCCACAUUGGGACUGAGAUACGGCCCAGACUCCUACGGGAGGCAGCAGUGGGGAAUAUUGCACAAUGGGCGGAAGCCUGAUGCAGCAACGCCGCGUGCGGGAUGACGGCCUUCGGGUUGUAAACCGCUUUCGCCUGUGACGAAGCGUGAGUGACGGUAAUGGGUAAAGAAGCACCGGCUAACUAC
rnacentral:rRNA from 1 species